UACAGAGGGUGCAAGCGUUAAUCGGAAUUACUGGGCGUAAAGCGUGCGUAGACGGUUAUUUAAGUCAGGUGUGAAAGCCCCGGGCUCAACCUGGGAAUUGCAUUUGAGACUGAAUAGCUAGGGUGCGGAAGAGGGAAGCGGAAUUUCCGGUGUAGCGGUGAAAUGCGUAGAUAUCGGAAGGAACACCAGUGGCGAAGGCGGCUUCCUGGCCUGUUCUUGACGCUGAGGCGCGAAAGCUAGGGGAGCAAACGGG
rnacentral:rRNA from 1 species